rnacentral:rRNA from 1 species
CACGUAGGGGGCAAGCGUUGUCCGGAUUUACUGGGCGUAAAGAGCUCGUAGGCGGCUCGGUAAGUUGGGUGUGAAAACUCCAGGCUCAACCUGGAGAGGCCACUCAAUACUGCCGUGGCUAGAGUUCGGUAGAGGAUCGUGGAAUUUCUGGUGUAGCGGUGAAAUGCGCAGAUAUCAGAAGGAACACCAACGGCGAAGGCAGCGAUCUGGGCCGAUACUGACGCUGAGGAGCGAAAGCAUGGGGAGCAAACAGGAUUAGAUACCCCCGUA